rnacentral:rRNA from 1 species
CGGACGGGGGAGUAAUGUCUGGGAAACUGCCCGAUGGAGGGGGGUAACUACUGGAAACGGUAGCUAAUACCACAUAACGUCGCAAGACCAAAGAGGGGGACCUUCGGGCCUCUUGCCAUCGGAUGUGCCCAGAUGGGAUUAGCUAGUAGGUGGGGUAACGGCUCACCUAGGCGACGAUCCCUAGCUGGUCUGAGAGGAUGACCAGCCACACUGGAACUGAGACACGGUCCAG